rfam:Richelia intracellularis, RC01, WGS project CBZS01000000 data, contig: contig00502
GCGGAUGUGGCGGAAUUGGCAGACGCGCUAGAUUUAGGUUCUAGUGCCGCAAGGCGUGAAGGUUCAAGUCCUUUCAUCCGCA